CGGAGAACGAAGCUGGGUUGUAACCCAGUAUUCCCAAUAAGAUUCUAACAUGCGUGGUGAAUUUUGCUGUAGUGAGUGGGUGCCCUUGUAGUUGUAAGAGCGGUGAGUCUGGUAAGUGCGCGUUAUGAGUUGACCUUAGGUGGUCUAGUGCCUUAACUGGGCACCAAGCAUUAUCUGUUGGAAAGAGAGGAAUGAUAGUGGGGUGUAGUGAAUGAUUAGUUUUGGUAGAUGGGAUCGUGAGAAUGUAGUAAUCGUCUACUUUUGUGAGUUGUGAGGUUUUAAGGCUGUGUGUGAUAUCUCCUUGACAAACAACGGUAACUUCCCUAGGUCUUAGGAACCCAUAAAAAGCUAAAUAGAUAGCAGAUUUGAUCACCAGGUUUGUGUUGGGAUCAAAUGGGGAUUCG